GACGAACGCUGGCGGCGUGCCUAAUACAUGCAAGUAGGACGCACAGUUUAUACCGUAGCUUGCUACACCAUAGACUGUGAGUUGCGAACGGGUGAGUAACGCGUAGGUAACCUGCCUAUUAGAGGGGGAUAACUAUUGGAAACGAUAGCUAAUACCGCAUAACAGUAUGUAACACAUGUUAGAUGCUUGAAAGAUGCAAUUGCAUCGCUAGUAGAUGGACCUGCGUUGUAUUAGCUAGUAGGUAGGGUAAAGGCCUACCUAGGCAACGAUACAUAGCCGACCUGAGAGGGUGAUCGGCCACACUGGGACUGAGACACGGCCCAGACUCCUACGGGAGGCAGCAGUAGGGAAUCUUCCACAAUGGACGAAAGUCUGAUGGAGCAACGCCGCGUGAGUGAAGAAGGUUUUCGGAUCGUAAAGCUCUGUUGUUGGUGAAGAAGGAUAGAGGUAGUAACUGGCCUUUAUUUGACGGUAAUCAACCAGAAAGUCACGGCUAACUACGUGCCAGCAGCCGCGGUAAUACGUAGGUGGCAAGCGUUGUCCGGAUUUAUUGGGCGUAAAGCGAGCGCAGGCGGAAAGAUAAGUCUGAUGUGAAAGCCCUCGGCUUAACCGAGGAACUGCAUCGGAAACUGUUUUUCUUGAGUGCAGAAGAGGAGAGUGGAACUCCAUGUGUAGCGGUGGAAUGCGUAGAUAUAUGGAAGAACACCAGUGGCGAAGGCGGCUCUCUGGUCUGCAACUGACGCUGAGGCUCGAAAGCAUGGGUAGCGAACAGG
rnacentral:rRNA from 1 species